UACGAAGGGUGCAAGCGUUUAUUCGGAAUUAUUGGGCGUAAAGCGCGCGCAGGCGGAUUGAUAAGUCAGGUGUGAAAUCUCGAGGCUCAACCUCGAAACUGCGCCUGAAACUAUUAGUCUAGAGUGUCGGAGGGGGCAGGGGAAUUUCACGUGUAGGGGUAAAAUCCGUAGAGAUGUGAAGGAACACCGGAGGCGAAGGCGCCUGCCUGGACGACUACUGACGCUGAGGCGCGAAAGCGUGGGGAGCAAACAGG
rnacentral:rRNA from 1 species